rnacentral:sRNA from 1 species
AUAAUACAACUGAUGGUGCAUUAUUCUAGUAGCAUACAUCUGCUGUGAGGGUGGGGCUAAAAAUCCACUAAAGGGCACAUCGAUGAAGUUUCUUAUUUUUGCGCGAAAUGCCAGUUUUGUGUGAAUGUAGGGAGUAAAGAAUUUAGGGUAAUAUAUAAUGGCAUAUAUCGACCCCCUAUUUUCGCGGAGGCUUAGAAAAAGUUCUAAUGAAGGCUUUUAGAACAACCUUUAAGUAAAACCUAUGUUGAGUGCCAAGACACAAAAUACAUAGAGUAGCCUGUCUUGAGUGAUAAUAUCGGGAUUGUUUAAACAUGAAAUUAUUAUUGCAAAAGAGACUAGCAAUAGAUUUAUAGUAUGCAGAAGGAAAACUUCUAGAAUGUUUGCUUUAAAUUAUAAGCAAGGAAAUCUGUGGAUUAAGGUACGGAUUUGAGUGGCGAUCUGGUUUCUACUUGUUACUUUUUAAUAUAGUAAUGAGAAGAUAUUUUCUUUAAAUGGAAACGGCUAAACAGUAAUGUUUAGUAGAAAAUAGAGAAAUUCUUCUAGACCUAAACCGUAAAAUUUACAUAGAUUUUUACCAUCUAAAUAUUUUU